AUAUACUUCAAAAAUACGUACGUUCAAUCGUUCGAAAUGGCUUCUCAGCAUAUGCAAAUGUAUAUGAGAAACCUUAUAUAAAUUGCCUUAUAGCUUUGCCGCAGAUAAAUAAUUACAGAAUAAACACAUACCUAUAACUGUAUGUAGUUUUAGGGGUUGAUUACAUGGGGAGUUUUCAGCCCGGGCUGAAUUUCAACCCGGGCUGAAUUUCAACCCGGUUAACCUACAAUCUUGGACAUAACUAGUACUGGUUGAGACUAUUUUCCCCCUAUAGAAAAUUCGCGUAUUUUUAUGAUAAACUCCAUGUUGAAUCAUGUUGCCAUUCUUAACCCCCCGCUCCCACAACUCAAUGUUGAGCUUGUGUCAUGGUAUAUUACCAAAAGUUGUUUCGGCGUUGUUCGCAACAUUGAACUGGGGGGAGGGGGGGACAAAGUUUGUUUUGUCAAUGUUCAAUAACUUUGUAAUAUUAGCUGGAAUGGUCUCAAGGGUUUUGUCCAAGAUUGUAGCUGAAAUUGUUUCACGAUUACAUGACAAGUUUCAGCUAGAAGAAAUGUUAGAAUUUCAAUUCAAACCGGGGUGAAAUCUGAGCCCGGAGUGAAAUCUGAGCCCGGAGUGAAAUCUGAGCCCGGAGCAGUGAGCUCCAUAUAUAUCUGGAGUGGGAACUUGGUUGCUCAAAGUGAAGCCAGUUUCGUGUUAACCGCGCAUACAAAAACAAUAGAAAGGGACUGGAACUGACGUCCAACAGCUCCUUCAAUUUCCGCCAUCUUGGCAAGGAGUGUGUUGAAAUUUCGUAUUUUGACUUCGAUUUAAAGAAUAAUACUGUGAUUUUAUGAACUGAAAACUUGAUUAGUGAUACGGUACAUUAGAAAAAACUGGAUUUAGCUUGGGAAAAUGAUAUAAAAACUGUUUACGAUCUUCAGAGCUAUUGGACGUCAAUGGCCGCCAUUUUGGCUUCAUUUUUCUCAUUGACCGAAUGACUGAAGUUCUUGCUCCAGAUAUAUAUAUAGAGCUCACUGGCCCGGAGUGAAAUCUGAGCCCAGAGUGAAAUCUGAGCCCAGAGUGAAAUCUGAGCCCAGAGUAAAAUCUGAGCCCAGAGUGAAAUCUGAGCCCAGAGUGAAAUCUGAGCCCAGAGUGAAAUCUGAGCCCAGAGUGAAAUCUGAGCCCAGAGUGAAAUCUGAGCCCGGAGUGAAAUCUGAGCCCGGAGUGAAAUCUGAGCCCGGGCUGAAACGAUCUGAGCCCGGGCUGAAAAUGGAGCUAAUCCGCUUCUUCCAUAAAUUUAAAAUGUUGUUCAUGUCUAUUAUUUGACUUCUGCGAGACUGUGCUGCAUUUUAAAAUAAAACAGACUGAAAUAAAGUCACUUAAACGCUGUUUUUCAACCCGGGUUGAAAUUUCACGUUGAUUACAUGACGAUUUUUAGUCCUGUCAACCGGAAUGAAAUUUUCAUCCCGAGCGGCUUCAACCGGGCUGAAAUCUCUGCCCGGGCUGAAAUUUCUGUCAUGUAAUCGUUUUCUGUGUUUUAAUAGGAUUUUACAGUCCUUAGGCCGUGCUGAAAUUUCAGCCCGGGAAACCGGGUUGAAACUCAGCCAGGGCUGGAAACUCUCCAUGUAUAUAUAAUCAGCUCCUUAGCCUAUAGGGGUUUUUCAUAUAUAAAAUAAAAGUGUACAUGCAUGUAAAAAACGUGGCAGGGACAGAAUUAUUGCGGGCCCCAAUAUGAGAUAACUUUUUUAUGUACUAAUUCCGAAUAGCUAAUUCAUAAACUUGCCCAGUCUUUGUUGUAGAACUUAUUGUUAUUUAUGAUUUGUUUGUUUUUCGAGUUUGUCCACGAUACUUCACAUCUGUGUUUUAUCUGUGUAUACAACAACAGCUUGCACAUAGUAGAAUAGAAGAUAUUAUUAGUGGCAAAUUAUCUUUUUAUUGCCUAUAACCAAUUGUUAUAUACAUCAGAGAUCUUUAAUUAGAGAAUGUAGGAUUCAUGCAGAGACAAUGGCACGCGUGUAAAACUAUAGGUUAUGAUAUAGCAUGUUCAAAGUUAUACACACAAUAUUUCGUAAAUUACAAUGUAUAUUAUUGGUCUUGUUAAUUCUAUUGUACUAUAAACAUCGCUAUGGAUCAUAGAAUUAAGCCAGCUUAGAUCAAACGAGGAUGAG